GAAAAUCACCCUCAUUUUAACCUCGUGUGGGCUAUCAAAGAUCUUCAAAAAGAAUGGCAGUGGAAAAUCUCGCAUGUUCACAGAGAAAGGAACAACGCCGCGGACUGAAUAGCAAAAUGGAGUCUGACACAACCAUUGGGUCUUAUUAAUCUGGUGUACCCUCCCAAGUAUUUGAACUUUGUCUUUUUAGCUGACCUUGUAGGUGUUGGCUAGGAAUAUUCCAAUGUAAUAUCUGGGCUAUGACCCCUUAGCACCAAAAAAGGGUACAAUAGGUUACUUAAUCAUUUAGAUUGCUGUUAAUUGCAUUCUUGAAAUUUAUCCAUAUCAUCAUCAUCUAAACCCAGAAUACUUCCUACUUGUGCUAAAAGAGGACCAUAUAUGUUUCAGAAGGCAGGCUCAGAUAUCUUUAAUCUCCAAGCCUCUUGAGUCUAGUUCUUUUAGCAGUACCUCAUUUCCCAUUCCAGAAGAAAGCUGAGCAGACUUUGUUGAUAACUAUGAGGGAAGAGUGAGUAGGACAAAGUUGCUACCCCAAGAAUUUUAUAAAUUGCAAGAGAUUAGCUAGGAAGGAGAUCACUGAAGAUGUCAUUGCCUCACCACAAAAACAGAUAUCCUAAAGCAAAAGCAAAGGUGGUUGAUGAGGGUUGGCAAUCAUCAGGGAAGGGUUCCAUGGGGCUCGGAUAUUCAAGGGGCAAUGACAAUACUAUGGAUGAUGAUGAUGAUAAUGAGGUUGUUAAUUACCAUAUAGAUUACCAUGGAGUCACAACUCAUCCAACCCCGACCCCCAAACAUCCUAAGCCAUGAAUUUCUUCCUUCAUUUCUCAUUUUAAGCAAAACAAUGAUGCUUACAUAUAUGUAUCUUACGAUAAAUCAAUACAUGAGUGUAUGCACAAUUAGGUUAAAAAUAGUUUUUGCUUCCUUCCACCACCAGAGGUUUCUCUCUCUCUCUCCUCUCUCAGUCUCUCUCUCUCUUUUUGGUUUAGAUUUGAGUUUCAAGUAUUGGACUUUGAUAGCUAUCUCCAAAAGUUAGACCAAUGGUUUUUGUUUACUCAGUCUUAAAUUCUCGUGCAGUACCUUUUUGUAAAAUCUUAAGAUAAACCUA